rnacentral:rRNA from 1 species
AGCCAAAGUUAAGAGCGUAUGGUGGAUGCCUUGGCAUAAACGGCCUAAGAAGGACGCGGCGUGGCUGCGAUAAGCCUCGGGGAGGUGCUGAGCAACCUUUGAUCCGGGGAUGUCCGAAUGGGGUAACCUACUGUGCAGUUUAAUGCGCAGUGCUGAUUCGGUGAAAGCCGAUGAUGCGGGAACUCGGUGAAGCGAAACUUCAUAGUAACCGAAGGAAAAGAAAAGACGUUUACUUUAUUUACAUCCAGCGAGAGCUGUGCAAAUAUCUUUUUGCUUAGCUUUUGCUGAGUGUUUAAUAAAGUGAAUCAUUCCCUUAGUAGCGGUGAGCGAAAGGGGAAGAGCUCAAACCCGUUGCGACGCAAGUUGCGAUGGGGGUUGUAAGGUAGAGAUUUCUUCGUAAGAAGAGGGAGUGUACAAGUUGAGUUAAGUAGCUGAAGGCCCUGGAACGGGCCACCAAAGAGGGGAACCGUCCCGUAAGCGAAAUUUAAUUCAUACUUCUUGUCUCUAUUCUUGAGUAGCUCGGGGAACGACAGCCCCGAGUGAAUCCGGGUCGACUAGCGACCCAAAGCUAAAUACCGUUUGUGACCGAUAGUGAACAAGUACCGCGAGGGAAAGGUGAAAAGUAGCCCGGUGAGGGCAGUGAAAUAGAACCUGAAACCAUAUGCUUACAAAGAGUCGGAGCUCAGCUCUACACUUGCUGUUUAAGGCGAACUUAUAUAAAACCACGAAUUACACUGAUAGUUUAUACGAUAAGUUUUGAUAUUGAAUGGCAAAUGUAGGGCUGAGUGACGGCGUGCUUUUUGCAGAACGAUCCGGCGAGUUUAUGUGUACUGCUGCUUAAGUCGUUUUCACGAUGAAGGCGCAGGGAAACCAAGUCUUAAUAGGGCGUAACCUUACAUAAUUGCGUAUGGCUCGUGGCCGUCCCAUCCAUUCGGAUCGGGGUUGCCAUAUGCCAUUCGCUCAUAUGUUCUGGUAAGUAGGACACAUAAGACCCGAAGCCAGGUGAGCUACCCAUGACCAGGAUGAACCCUGUCGAAAGACUGGGGGAGGUCCGAACCCGUUAGCCGUGCAAUACUAUGGGAUGAGUUGUGGGUAGAAGUGAAAAGCUCAUCGAACCUGGUAAUAGCUGGUUCUCUCCGAAAUAUCUUUCGGGAUAGCGUCGCGUAGUACCCUCGGAGGUAGAGCACUGAAUGGUCUUCAUUGGCGCAAGCCAGGAAGACCAACCAAACUCCGAAUGCCGAGGGGCAAUAUGCGGCAGUUAGACUGCGGGGGCUAAGCUCCGUAGUCAAAAGGGAAAAAGCCCAGACCGCCAUCUAAGGUCCCCAAAUCUUCGCUAAGUGCAAAUUUCAAGGAGGUGCGAUUUCUCAGACACCUAGGAGGUUGGCUUAGAAGCAGCCAUCCUUUAAAGAAAGCGUAACAGCUCACUAGUUCAGAGAUUGCGCGCCGAAAAUGUAUGGGGCUAAGCGAAGUACCGACGAUGCGGAUUUUCCGUCGCAAGAUGGAAAGUGGUAGGAGAGCUUCUUCUGUGCAGCGAAGCAGAACUGUGAAGUUUUGUGGAGCGCAGAGGAGUGAGAAUGCCGGAAUGAGUAACCACAAGUCCUGUGAGAACCAGGACCGCCGGAAGCCUAAGGUUUCCUUGGCAAUGACAAUCAACCAAGGGUGAGUCGGUCCUAAGGCCAACCCGAAAGGGGUAGCCGAUGGACAGCAGGUUAAUAUUCCUGCACUCCGUUCAUAUCCGAAAAGGAGGGACAGAGAUGAGUAAUCAACGCGCGUUAUUGGAUUCGCGUCUGCGUUUCGAAGAAGCUUGCGAGGCAAAUCCCGCAAGGUCCUUAAGUGGAACUUUUCGAAGGAACGCAGGGAAUUCCCAUUAUGGGGAGAACGUUGGCGAGCCGUCUCUCGAGAAAAUCUUCUAAGGUUAAUAUGAGCGGAACCGUACCGAAGACCGACACAGGUGGGCUGGUAUAAAUGUACCAAGGCGAACGAGUGAUUCUUCGUUAAGGAACUCGGCAAAAAAGUGGCCGUAAGUUCGUCAAUAUGGCCUGCCCUGCGCAAGCAGGGCCGCAGCUAAUGACCCCUAGCGACUGUUUAUCAAAAACACAGGUCCCUGCUAACUCGUAAGAGGAUGUAUAGGGGCUGACGCCUGUCCAGUGCUGGAACCUUAACGGUUGCGGUGGUAUGUACAGAGAUUAUAUCAAUGUGUGUAUUGCUAAAGCCCGAAGGGCCAGUGAACGACAGCGAUAACUAUAAUCGUUCUAAGGUAGCGAAAUUCCUUGGCAUGUAAGUUAUGUCCCGCACGAAUGGCGUAACGACUGGGGGACUGUCUCAACGAAGAGCUCGGUGAAAAUGCAAUGACCGUGAAGAUGCGGUCUACCUGCGGCUAGACGAAAAGACCCCGGAAGCUUCACUACAGCUUGAUAUUGGCGAUGCUUCCUAAAUGCGUAGCAUAGGUGGGAGAGGUUGAAGUCUCGUUUUCGGACGAGAUGGACUCGACAGUGAAAUACCACUCUUUUAGGGCGCUUCGUUCUAACUUGGUUGCGUUAGCAGCGCAACGAGGACAGUGUCUGGCGGGUAGUUUUGGUGGGGUGCUAUCCUCCCAAAAAGUAACGGAGGAGUUUAUUAAGGUUGGCUAGCUCCGGAUGGAAAUCGGAGCGGUAGCGUAAAGGCACAAGCCAGCUUUACAGCGAGACCUAUAAGUCGAGCUGUUGCGAAAGCAGAACUUAGUGAACCGACCAUUCGACGUAGUAGGAUGGAAGAUCAUCAGACAAAAGCUACUCCGGGGAUAACAGGCUGGUGAAGCCCAAGCGUCCAUAGCGACGGCUUCGCUCGGCACCUCGAUGUCGGCUCAUCUUAUCCUGGGGGUGGAGAAGCUCCCAAGGGUUUGGCUGUUCGCCAAUUAAAAAGAUACGUGAGCUGGGUUCAAACCGUCGCGAGACAGGUUGGUCUCCUAUCUGUCGCAGGCGUAGAAUUUUGAGGGGACUUGUUCCUAGUACGAGAGGACCGGAAUGAACUGACCUCUGGUGUACCGGCUGUUCUGCCAAGAGCACUGCCGGGUAGCUAUGUCAGGAACAGAUAAGCGCUGAAAGCAUAUAAGCGCGAAGCUGGCCCCAAGAUUAGAAUUCAUAGCAUCCUGGGAGAUGACCAGGUAAUUGCUGUUUGUAUGGAAUUGCCGAUUGUUCGAAGCGCAAGCAGAGAACAAAGAGCGAGGAAAUACAAAAA